AGAGCACCCGGACCCGCGGCAGCGGCGGCAGCGGCGCUCCCCACCCUCCACCGCAGCACUCAUCGAGCCAGGAAACCACCAAGCCACGGGCCCUCGGGAAGAGGAGAGGGAGCAAACAGACACCAGCAAAGCAUUCCUGUAACACGAUGUGCUACACAAGUUCCCAGUAGCGACAGAAGAGAAGAGCGACAUAAACUAUUUUAGACGCAAUCAAGGAAGAAUCGCCCAUCAUGUGGAAUUGAGCGGCAGUUUUAAAUGUACUAAGAGAAGACUGGUCUCGAAAAAAAAAAAAAAAAACAUUUUUUUCCCCUUCUUUUUUUGGAGACGCCUAAAGGAGCCUGUUUGUGUGCUGUGUGGCCACGUUCUGCUGUGACUGGAUCUUGUCUUCUGCCUGGCUCCUCGAUUUCCGUCCGGCUGGAUUUGGGGACAACACUGCCUGGCGCAGACAGAUCAAAUGACACUUCAAAGAAGCAUAAAAUGAACAGACUAUUCAAACAAAGGUAAUUUACAUUUUUUUAUUUGAUAAAACCUGACUGAUGUACAAAACGAAAAUAGAAUAUUGUUUACUGGAAAACAGGUCUACAAUCUCUCACACAUCUUCUCUUGCAACAGAUAGAAUUCCAGAAACAUCUAAGUUCCUCUGUGUACAGUUAUUUCUCCUGUAGGAGCCUUUGUAUGGAUGUAAUACACACAUAUAUGUAUAUGCAUAGAGCAUGACAUAAAUAAAACCUGCAAUAGCCUAUAAGAAAGAAGCUCCUAUUUAGAGGAAAGGGUAAGAUACUUUUAUUAUAAUGAAAGCCAGUUCACUUCAUCACUUGGACCAUGGACACUAAUGUAAAUAAAAUGGCUUAAAAAAUAAGACAAUAGUAGUAUUGACUGUAGACUACAAUUUGCACAUUUGUAAUUCUUAUAAAUGAAAUAUUUAAAAUGAUUUGGUGUUGGGCCAGUUCCUUAUGCAUUCUGCAUUCAUGUGUAUAGGAUUCAAAGACGUUCCAAAUAUUGAUCAUAAACCAAGUGUAUAUGAAUUAAUUAAAUAGCAUAUUUCUGGCCCAAAUAUGAGGAAAACCAUAACUUUUUACUGUAAAUCAGGAGAGAUUGUUUUAUCCCCAAAUAAACUAGGAUGUUUCAAGUCAUGUUUCAGCAAUUUGGAGACCUACAAACUAUCUGCAAGCAAGCACAACAACCAUACUCUAAUCUACUAGAUAGUAGUGAGAAUUUAGUGCUUGAAUUCAGGCUGCUUGAAUUCAGUAUAUCCUUCUCUAUGCUGAUUUUCAAGUAGAUAUUCUGUAGCUCAGCUAGAUAAUCUUUUAAAAGCAAAAAAAAAA
rnacentral:lncRNA from 1 species